rnacentral:tRNA from 1 species
GCCUUCGUGGUGUAGUGGUCAGCACGCUCGACGCGUAUUCGAGAGGUUCCUGGUUCGAGUCCCGGCUAGGGCA